rnacentral:rRNA from 1 species
GAUGAACGCUGGCGGCGUGCCUAAUACAUGCAAGUCGAGCGAACAGACGAGGAGCUUGCUCCUCUGACGUUAGCGGCGGACGGGUGAGUAACACGUGGAUAACCUACCUAUAAGACUGGGAUAACCUCGGGAAACCGGAGCUAAUACCGGAUAAUAUAUUGAACCGCAUGGUUCAAUAGUGAAAGACGGUUUUGCUGUCACUUAUAGAUGGAUCCGCGCCGCAUUAGCUAGUUGGUAAGGUAACGGCUUACCAAGGCAACGAUGCGUAGCCGACCUGAGAGGGUGAUCAGCCACACUAGAACUGAGACACGGUCCAGACUCCUACGGGAGGCAGCAGUAGGGAAUCUUCCGCAGUGGGCGAAAGCCUGACAGAGCAACGCCGCGUGAGUGAUGAAGGUCUUCGGAUCGUAAAACUCUGUUAUUAGGGAAGAACAAAUGUGUGAGUAACUAUGCACGUCUUGACGGUACCUAAUCAGAAAGCCACGGCUAACUACGUG